rnacentral:miRNA from 1 species
UGGCCACCGAAUAGUCUGCCACAAGGUCGUAUAUUGUCCCUGUGGCAGAGUAUUCGGUGGUCAGG